rnacentral:rRNA from 1 species
UGGGGAAUAUUGCACAAUGGGCGCAAGCCUGAUGCAGCCAUGCCGCGUGUGUGAAGAAGGCCUUCGGGUUGUAAAGCACUUUCAGCGAGGAGGAAGGUGGUGAGCUUAAUACGCUCAUCAAUUGACGUUACUCGCAGAAGAAGCACCGGCUAACUCCGUGCCAGCAGCCGCGGUAAUACGGAGGGUGCAAGCGUUAAUCGGAAUUACUGGGCGUAAAGCGCACGCAGGCGGUUUGUUAAGUCAGAUGUGAAAUCCCCGGGCUCAACCUGGGAACUGCAUUUGAAACUGGCAAGCUAGAGUCUCGUAGAGGGGGGUAGAAUUCCAGGUGUAGCGGUGAAAUGCGUAGAGAUCUGGAGGAAUACCGGUGGCGAAGGCGGCCCCCUGGACGAAGACUGACGCUCAGGUGCGAAAGCGUGGGGCAGCAAACAGGAUUAGAUACCCUGGUAGUCCACGCUGUAAACGAUGUCGAUUUUGGA